UUUUAACCCAAAAUGGCCUUUAUUACCGCAAAAAUGGCCCUUUUUUUACCCCAAAACAGCCUUUAUUACCCCAUAACAACCUUUAAUUACCCCAAAAUGUCCUUUUAUUACCCCAAAAAGGCCCUUCAUUACCCCAAAAUGACCAUUUAUUACCCAAAACAGCCUUUUUUUACCCCAAAAUGGCUUUUAUCAUUACCCCAAAAUGGCCUUUUAUCACCCCAAAUGUCCAUUAAUUGCCCCAAAAUUGCCCUUUAUUACCCCAAAACGGCCCUUUAUUACCCCAAAUGUCCAUUAAUUGCCCCAAAAUUGCCCUUUUUUACCCCAAAACGCCCCAUUUCCCCCCAUUCCCGCGGGGGUCCUCAGCCCCCCCCCACUCCUUUAAGGGGUUUCGGGGGGGGGCGUCACACUGCGGGUAUAGGGGGGUAAUUAACGAGCACUAUUAGGGGCUCUAAUGGGGUAAUUAACGAGCUCUGUUA
rnacentral:lncRNA from 1 species